GACGAACGUUGCUCGGUACCUUAACACAUGCAAGUCGAACGGAAAGGCCCUCCUUGCGGGGUACCUUCGUCAUGAGGGGGUCGUGAAAACUUGGGCGCAUUUCCCCGCCACUUCGGGAUAUGCCGGUGAAACCUGGGGCUAUUACGGUAUGGGAGCCUUUUUUGGUGGGGAUGGUGGUAAGGUUUUUUCGUGUAGGAAGACCCCCCGCCCAUCAACCUGGUUGUUGGGGAAAGGGCUUCCCAAGGCGGCUCGGGCCAGCCGGCCUGCGAGGGUGGGCGGCCCCCUUUGGGCCCGAGAAAACGGCCCCUACUCCUACGGAAGGCACCAGUGGGGGAAUAUUGCAAAAAGGGGACAACCCUAAAGCCGGCACCCCCCCCGGGGGGGAGGCCGCCUUUGGGGUUGUAAACUCCUUUUCAUAGGCCCCAAACUUUUUUUGGGAGGGGCCCUAGGAAAAAAAACCCCGGUAAAUUACGGGCCCCCCGCCCCGGAAAAACGGGGGGGGGGGGGGGUUUUUCCCCACUAAAAAGGGAAAGGGGGGGGGGGUGGCUUUGUCAAAAAUUUUGGAAAAUUUAAAAAAUUACCCCCCCGCGAGAAACAAACCCUUUUCUUUUUUUUUCAGAAGGGGGGGGGGGGGUUCGGGUUUAUCUUUCUCCCCCCCCCCCCCCCGGGGGGGGGGGGGGGUUGUUUGUUUUGGAUUUGUAGGGGGGGGGGGGGGGGAAUAUUAUACUAUUAAGGGAAAAAAAACAUGUGGGCCCGGGGGGUUUUUUUUUUUGGGGGGGGGGGGGGGGGGGGGGUUUUUUUUUUUUUUUUUAUGAGUGGGGGGGGGGGUUUUUUUCCUCCUCAAAUAAC
rnacentral:rRNA from 1 species